rnacentral:rRNA from 1 species
AACGAACGCUGGCGGCAUGCCUAACACAUGCAAGUCGAACGAGACCUUCGGGUCUAGUGUCGCACGGGUUCGUAACGCGUGGGAACCUGCCCUUAGGUUCGGAAUCACUCCCCGCAAGGGGUGCUAAUACCGGCUAAUGUCUUCGGACCAAAGAUUUAUCGCCUUUGGAUGGCCCCGCGUUGGAUUAGCUAGUUGGUAGGGUAAAAGCCUACCAAGGCGACGUUCCAUAGCUGGUCUGAGAGGAUGAUCAGCCACACUGGGACUGAGACACGGCCCAGACUCCUACGGGAGGCAGCAGUGGGGAAUAUUGGACAAUGGGCGAAAGCCUGAUCCAGCAAUGCCGCGUGAGUGAUGAAGGCCUUAGGGUUGUAAAGCUCUUUUACCCGGGAUGAUAAUGACAGUACCGGGAGAAUAAGCUCCGGCUAACUCCGUG